rnacentral:lncRNA from 1 species
GGAGGAGUGGGUGUGGACUUGGUGGUGCCAGAGAUUCACCUGCAGUAGCUGAUGACCUGAGUGACAGCCCAGCAGGGGAGCAGUGAAGGUGACGGUUUUAACAUCUUUUGGAAUAAUAACAAGGGGUUAAGGAGAUCAGGUUGAGAACGAGGCAGAAGCACUUAGAGACAGAGUGGAGACUGGGGCACUGAGACUAUGCAGUCACUAUUUCAUCGUCUCGAGGACUGAUCUGUACCUGAAUACCAGGAGUAGCUAGUUAUUAAGCAUCACCGCAUUAAAUAGUUUAAGUUCUCUCUUUUUUGCUUGUAGUUAUAAAACUCAGAUAUAAGAUUUCUGCCAGUAAAAAUUGAGCAGGAAUUGAGAAAUCACUCUAACAAUUCAUAAAAGGUUUUAAAGUUGAGCUCCUGGUGCAGCUAUGAAAAAUAUCUCACUGUGUGUGUGAGAAGUUCUUUUGUGCUGUGACAUUUUGUACUUUCACUUUUGUUUCCCUUUCAAAUGGACUAUGAUUCCAAGAAUAGUAGUAGCUGUAGUAGUAGUAUAAUGGUAGUAUAUAUAGUAUUAGUAGUACAUAGUGUAAUGGAAGUAGUUGUAGUAGCUAUACUUAAGCCCUCUAAACUUAACCAUCCUUACCUGUUUUUCCCUUUUGGAUAUCGUCUUAACGCUUUCACUAUAUUUUCUGAUCUUAACCAUUUUUCAUUUCAUCUGCAGGAGAUAAAAUUUUAAACAUUGGAAACAAAAUCUUUAUUGAAAUAAAAUAGAAUAAUCCAUCAAUCUCCCAAUAUUUGAAGCAUCUGCAGCUGCUUUAAAAAGUUGGUAGAAUCAAAAGUUUAAAAGUCUUUAAAGAGGAAAGUUGCAUGCAAUUUUUUUUCUGCAUAAUGCAAACUUCUCCUUUAAGAAUAUGCGCACAAACUUCUUAACCCGAAACUUGACGACGGGCCCCACUCUCCCUCCCUAAUAUCACACCUUGGAUGCAUAAACAUGCCUGUGCUCCUCACAUCACCCCACCCCGGGGGGGCUGCUUGGCUUUAGUGCCGCACUGUGACACCAAUCAGUGGAGAUGGCGGGCUCCUUUGUCAUGCAAACACCAAUCGCUUCUUGUCUUAUUCAAAUGUCUGCCCUCUCUCUUUCUCCUCACCCUCACUCUCUCUCAACCCCUACCCCGCUUUCCUCCUCACCCUCGCCCCUCCACCCCCGACUUCAGCCCUCUCUCCCUCUCUUCUCUCUGCCUCUCCAUACUUCUCAAGUCCAAGUAAAUCCUCACUGAGAGAGAAAGAGGGAGCCUCGGGGCCCCGGGGGCCGCUGAAGCAGGCCUCUCUCCUGGGGGUCAGCCUGUGUCUCAGCGCAUGGGGCUGUUUCCAGGCCCAACCAAGUCCAUUUCAUAUUCAAAUGUUACAAUCAGGCCUCUGACCCACAGGGGGCUCUUUAUGGCUGCGGCCCCAGGUCGCAGGGUCAAGAUGGUGAUUUAAUAGCUCCGGCAGAGGAAAGGAGCAGGGGAGCCAAGUGAUUUAGGGGAUGAAUGAGUAAUAAAAAAGCAUUUUUCCUAAGUUGUCAUGUAAAUUUCAAUCCGUAUUCAAUAUGAGGCUCCCUCCACACUAGAGGCCUUCCUCAAUGGCUUUCUAGUGGACUUCAGUCACUCAGAAUUAAGACAAGUCCAUUUUCUGCUUUUACUCUUGACUUGUGCUUGGUGUAAACAGUAGCUGACAGAGAAGAGGCUGAGGAUUAGGGAUGAAGAUAAGGCCACGUUAAGGAGUCAUCGUGCUUGUGUGGUGCCACUGUGUCUCAGAUGUCCUCAUGUGCUGGAGUGGCCUGUUAUUCCUGUCCCUGAGGGUGUGUUCCCAGCACGGCAGCUCCUGUAACAUAGGCAGGUUUGUGUGUUUAUGUUCGUAUGUGUGACAGAGAGCAGGCUAGAGUAUUGUGCUAUCGUAUUAUGUGUGUAAAGAAGGUCACUCCAUACGGCUUUUUGUCAACAGGUGGAAGGAUGGAGGCACACAGUCAAAGCUUGGACCGCACAUGUUUGAAAUGGUUGUCAGGUAUUUCCAAGUUUUAUGACUCACAUGGUGUGUCUCUUUUCUUAAUCUGAGUCAUUUAGGCCACAAACAAACCCUCCUAUCCUCUGCCUCUAUGAAGAUCAGGUUGGGUUUACAUCUAUUUCUCUUCUUCUUGUUAACAUUAUCAUAGGAUACCAAAGGAUAAACUAUACAUGUAAUGUAAGGAGGUAAAACACUGUGACAUCGGCUCAGAGACAACAGUAAUCAUAGAAAGACCAAGUUGUGAGUGACUGAGUGUCUUGCUAAAGGAACCCACUCCUCAAAAGUUUUUAGACGCCCUGAAAAUAACAUGUAUGAGAGAUUACCUAUGAAUACACACAUGCCUUAUACAUGCAAACCAAAAAAUGUUUGGUAUAUCCCCUCAUGUACUGUGACCCUACACUAAAUUUACACAGAAAAUCCAGAAACAUGUUCUCCAACAUCAGUCCUUCACAAUAGAUCAUCUCAAAAGCGGCAAGACCAAAAAAAAGCACCCCUCUUUAAGUUCCUUUUAUUUUAUUUUUUAAAUACCGUUUCCACCCUUUUAUCCCCAUCACUGCCUGGAUUUGUUUACACUGCUAUGACUUAAAGAGCAAUGUGCUCAUAAAACAAUCAUUUUCCUCUCACUUACUCUGUCUUUUGGGACAUUUCACUUUCUUAAAGCUCCUGUAAGGAAAUUUUAAUAUAGGUCUACUUUGUCUCCCCCUGUGGACAAAACAGUUUAUGUUUAUAGUGUCCUUUACAAAAAUCGUAUCCCUCUGACUUUUGACACCCAUAUAAAUCAUUUAUUGUAAGUAUUUUAUUGGGAAAUAGUAAAACAGAGCUGUUUCUCCAGCUGCUUACAUGACACCUAACAUCCUUACAUCAGUUUCAAGCAUUACAAAUUAUGAGAUAAAAAUCCUUAAUCUGGUUGCUGAUGGUUUUGUUUGCUUUUAUAUGUAAUGAAAAUGCAGCAGUUUGAAUUUCAGUAUGUUUGAGAAAUGUCAAAAAGUCUUCAUAGGAGGUUUGAAGACCAAGGCUAAAAAGUUGAUAAAGUUAAUCAAUAAAUUGAUGAUCACAGAUAUGUAAUUGGUAAUAACAUUUUAAUGGUUAAUGCUUUAGUCCUCUCCAGUGAAAGGGCUGUUAGUUUUUCUUAGAUCUGUAAAAGACAUGACUAUUUAAUCAUUUUAAAAGAAACAAUUUUGAGGUUUUUAUGUACAACACAUAAAGAAGGAAAGAAAUAAAAGACCUCUUAACAGCUAAACAAAAUGAAAUGUUUUGAAAUCUUUUAAUGGAAACUUACAGUUAAUAGUGAAAUUAAAUUAGAUACAAAACUAUUAUAAAGUACCUACAGCUGUUAGCGGCCUCUGGACCAAAACAAGUUCAGAAGAGAUAAUAAUCUUUUAAAGUCAAAGUAUUAAAAGAAAAAGCAAAUAGAAACAACAAAGGACACCUCAGUUUGUGUACACAUUCAUUAAAACCCUUAUCAGAUACAGUGUGUAAUGUUUUUGCUCCUGUAAUGUUUCACUUUCAAUAUGAACCUCAAAGAGUUGUCAUGGUGGGUAUUUGUGUCUGGAUGUCUGGAUGUGUGUAUGUGGAGUCUUGGUGUGUGUUCAGUAACACGGUGGGAAUAUCACACAGGGACAUCAGUUUUAAGCAGCUGCAGAAUUAGUAUGGAAAUACAAAAGCAUGAUGGCGCCGUUAUUGCAGACUCGUAAUAUGCAAAGAGCAUCAAUACAGUGAAUGAGUUGAAGAAAUCAGAAAAUAUUACAGCGUCCCUGAUAAAAAUAAAGAUAACAUAACUGUUGGAAAGAGUGGGUCUUGUUUCAAAACAGAUGAUCAUAUCUCAACUUUGUUUUCAGUGGAGAAAAAACUUCACACUGACAGCGGCAGAGUUCAGAACCGAAGGGCAGCUUGGAGCCAGGAGGUUGAGGGGCCACCACAGGGCAAGGUAAGGCAAGCCUGAGUGGGCACAGCUGUAGCUCACAGUCAUUACUGCUCCUCUACUGGUUAAGAAGAAAAGGGCCGCUCCCGCCACAUGGCCACUCUGCCACGCCUGCCCCCUGUCCCCCUGCCGCACACACAGGAAGGCCCUGGUAGAGCCAGGCGGCACCACUCGCAGUUUGCACUCACGUCACGUGUGGCAGGGGUAGCCGAGCCAAACGGGAGAGGUGUAGCAGGGUGAGGGACAUGGCCAGGCUGGAGGCAGGGUGAGGGGUAGGUUGGAUGGAUGGGUGUAGAGGUUAAACCAGGGUGGAGAGGGGGGCUCUUUUCCUUCCUCUCUUAUCUCCCGACUGACCAUUCUCUUUCCCAUCCCCUCCUCUACCACCCCCCUCCUCCUUUCUCUUUUGUGGCCUGUGCACCUGCAGCCCUUGAGUCUGGGCAAUAAAGCUGAAGGAUUUGUCUACUGGAGGCAAAGUGGGGGAAUCAUGAAGCAUGGGGAGCACAAAAGCAACAGGUUCAAACUGUGACUGUUUGAUAUGGUGCUAUGCCAUAUUGCAGAGUGAUGGCCUUGAUGUAAUGCAGUUUGACAUAGAAGGAGUGAGUUUAAGCAGAUUUGCUUCCAGAAUUACACCCUGCAUGGGUAAGUGUCAUGCUGAAUCAGUUUGAUCCAACACAUGAACAGCUUUCAGCCUUUAAGCGUGCUUUACUUCCAUGUAAGGAUUACAUGUAUGUAAACUGAUCAAAUUCACUGAGAAGACAUAGCCACAGAGGUCAAGCUUUCAAAGGGGAGAAAAAUAUAUCAGAUUCUAGCUGACGCAAAACCCAAGGACUUGAAUUGAGAGAAUUACCAAUCUCUAGAGGCACUGUUAAUUAUUAUCCAGUUGUAUUAAACAUUUUGUUUGUUAUUCUGCAAGAGGGCUUUUGCUCCUGGUAUUUAAAGUGUAAUAAUGUGAUAAUAGUUUCAUUCCCCUUCUUUGUAGAUCGAUUUUAUAAAUCUUGGAUGUAUGAGUUGGUACAAAACUACUGUAACUCAAACUUGGAGUCACUAGGGUUUUUGAUAUAAAUAAAAAAACUGGCAGUGACUCCUCCUUAUGACCACUAGUAACUGAUCUCUCAGCUCUCUUUUGUUUUAUAAUGUCUGUAUCAGCAGGUACUUGAAUGGACAGUCGACAGUACACUGCAGAAAAAGACUUAAAACUUUUUUAAUUGCUUAAAUAAUUGCUGAAUGUUCUGUUAUGAAAGAACGCAAGAUGAGACUUUAAUGUAUAAAUUAUCCAUUUGCACACAUACCUAACAAAAUUAAAGAUAUAAAAGCUUUAUCCUUUAUCUUAGAGUUCAAACUUCUAUAGGCUACUUUUGUAAGUCCAGUAGAAACCUUGCACAUUGAUUUUAGUCAUGUUUGGGGGAUACGUCUUAGUUUUUCAUGGUUUGUACUGAGCAGGCAAAUUAGGGUUAUUAAACCCCAAAUCAGGCAUGUGAUUAGCAUUGGACAAAAAAGCAGGACCUCCACCUCCCACACACACACACACACACACACACACACACACACACACACACACACACACACACACACACACACACACACACACACACACACACACACACGUACAGAUAUAAUGUCAAUGAAAUGUAGGCUAUAAAUAAAGGUAAAAUGUACAUAUGGCACCUGUUCAGCUCACUGUUCAAACUCAGCCCUUAUGUCCACCCUUAAGCCUUAGCGCUGAGCCCCCAUGGACUUCUGAGGGUUUGAAGUCCAUGGGGGUCUGAUGUAAUAAAAAUGGGGAGGGGAACACACUGUAAUGACACCGCACACUGAUGCCCCAUUUAAUUAAAAGAAAACCUGUCUUCAGUGGGAUUUAGAUGUUGAUCUUGUAGUGAUUAUUUUUUCUGGAUAUUGUGAAAACUCAGAUAAAUAUCUGUAAAGUUCAGUUCACUUGAGUUGAACGACAACAAAAGUGAUCAAACUUGACAUGGUUAAUUUGAUUUUGGCUUAUUUAAUACUGUCCUUUAAAUUUGUUUUGUCAAAUUCAAUAUGCUUACAUUUGUUCUGCAUUCAGUAGGAGGCUGAACAGUCGCAUGAACCCUGGAUGAGUCUUACAGUUUUGUCUUUGCCUUUUACAUGAGGUGGGUUGACCCUGCGUAGACCAAUUACACCAACCUGAAACACCUUAAGACACUUUACAUUUAUCCACAAUAUCCCUCUGUAUGUUGUUUUGUCCAAAUCAGGGGACCAAAUGUAACACAGUGAUGGAGAUAUCAAGUAAAAUGGCAAAGUGCUGGUCGUUGUUUCCAACGAGAGCUGUCUGUACUCUCCUUAACCCACAUGGAGGUAAGUUUGCCACAAAAAUAAUCCUUUAUUAUCAAACUAAAACUGUGCAGUCCAAUGUAACAAGGAUGUAUAGGUUACACGAAACAGUUCCCAUCCAUGUUCCAUAGACUCUCCCUCCAAUUCCCCACCUGUUGUAAUGUUAUGUUCAGUCAUGUAGAACUUUUCUCUCACCCGCUGCAUGCCAGACCCCCCACAUUGUAAAUCGGCGCAAAAGGAAAAAAGGUUCAGCUCUUUUCAGAGUGCGAGCAUGAAGGCAGAGGAAAUCACUCUAAACGGUCUUAAUUCUGCCAUUAGAUGAGAAGCAGCGCUGAGGGGAUUGGCUGGCCCUGCGCUCCAUAUUCACAGAAGCAGGAUGAGGCUGGGAGGCCUGCUGAGAAAAUGGUGUCGUAAUCAGGAGCCGGCAGUUCUGCCUGAUCAGGUACACUAGCCCCUCUCCUCCUUCUCCCUCAGAACCCCCUCCUCCACCUUCUCCUUCUCCCCCCACCUCAUUUAUCUUCCCUUCUCCUUGCCCCGUAAGGAGAUCCUAAUAAGAGUUUGGACGUACUGAGCUCCUCUUAUGUGUGGACCUGGCAGGAGGGAGCAGAGAUGAGGCCUGAGGUGGGGGGUUGAAGUUGGAGGUACGGUAGUUGUGGUGGUGGUAGGGAGUUUUUUUUUUUUUUUCGUUCCCACAUUUGAUUAUUCAGGUUGGCUGAACUAAAUUCUAAACCCAUAAAAUUCGUAUCCCCUCUGGGGGACCAUUUGCAUAUAUUUCGGUGCCCCCUCCUUCUCUUCCCAAUUCCCCUUUUUUUUCUCAGAAAGUGAAAGAGAGGGCGAAGCAACCAGGCCUGUCUAGGCUUUAAGAUGUCACCGUGGUGUGAAAUAUGGGCGAACAAGCAGGGUCUUUGAAACUCAAACUAACCCCCCACCAGCCUCUGAGCUGCUGCCACACACACAUAUCCACACACAGUCGUCUUGUUGCCCUCCACUGGUUGCUUCCCUUAAAUAGGAAUUCAAUUUCAGGCUGUAGUUACAUGAUCUGCAACUUUAGCAUCAACUUUUACAUCUUCGACACCUGAUCAUGGUGUGCUGUGGCGUCUCUUGAGGGUCCCACUAAGAGUCAUUCUGGUCUGGGUAAGACAGCAAAGUUAGUGUGUCUGUGUUUUUUAAAAUAGUGUAUUUCGGGUAAAUUUCUUCAAUCUCAGGACAAACAAAUUAUUCACUGGAUCGUAUGAGUGCUACCGUUUACAAAAUAAGAAAGCUGUGACAUGUUGAACUCUGUCCAUUAUGUCAGCAGGGGCAAAACUACAAGGGGCUAGGACGGGUUCCAAAUAUUUGAUAAACAUGUCAAAGCAGUAAAUCCCGGACUUGUAAUCAUGCCAAUUUCACUCUUAGCGUCGUCGUUGUAGGGGAUUAAUUUUCAGACAAAAAUGCUCUGAGGUCAGGUCUUAAAAUUCCGUGUAGGAUGUGUGCCGGGCUACAGAAAGAAGAUCAAGGGAACACACAUGUAGCUGGGCACACAGACCGAGAGAGGAAGGCUGGGGCUCCACAUUGCCAGUCAGCCAUAAGAGACACCUGUUCGUUUGUUUGGCGAGCAAACUCUGCGUUUUUGUUUUGCGCCGUGCCAAGCCGGCCUGCUGGCACCCGUUUACUGCCCAUCUGUAUGGACGGGAGAAGUUAGUCGAUGGUCUUUGAAAACACAAGGGAGGGUGGGUGGAUGGAUGGGGGUGGUGGUGGUGGUGGUGUGUGUGUUGAGGGGGUGAGUGAUACUUGAUGGCAUUUUGGUCACAUGGGGCGAGUUGCUGUCAUCCUUUAACCCUCCCCCCUUAGACCCUCUUUCCCUCCUCCCCCCCUCCCCAUGCCCACUCCCUGGUGCACAGGCAGAAUGCAGUGUCAGGAGGGUGAGCACUGAGCGCCCAUUGUGUGUGCUAACCAAAGCGGAAUGCCCGGGUGACAAAAGGGGGAGGAGUGGGCUCAGGGGCACACAAAGCCAGGGGGAGGAGAGGGUUUGGAGGAGGAUGAGGAGGAGGAGGGAAGGAGAGGAAGGGGGGCAAUCUGCUGGGGGCUAAAUAGAUCCUCUCAGCCCCCCAAAACUGUAGGCACCCUAAAAAUCUUCUCCAACCUCCCCCCACUGGCUUCUCACCCUCCCCUGGGCCCUGGGGUGUACAGUAUGUCUGAUUCUCAGCAGAGUGAAAGUUUAGAACCUAAAACAACUGAGCCUCAAGCUAUAACACUGGUUUUGGUGGGAUGACUAAUGGCUUUGCUGCCUGAAACUAGAAGUAUCUGCCAACAGUCGCCAUGGUUUCCAAUCAUUUGUCAUUUGUCAGGGAUGUCCUAAAGGCACCAUCACUGUCAAAGGUUUUAAAACACACACGAGGGAUUCUUUUCGGAAAAGUAUAGUAAGCUUUAAAUUAAGAUGUUAAACAAUAUAUAUAUUUAUUAAAUCCGUAUAUCCAGUAGUGACAAAUGAUACUAGUUAACAUCAUGUUCAGUCUGACUAAAAUGUGUUUUUCCUGUGAAUUUAAUUAACAUUGCAAUGCGCUAUCAAAAUAGAAUUAUAACAAUAAAAUAUGAAUUAAAUUGAACAAUAUGUACAAAAACAUAUUUCACAAAAGUUAACUAAAAGGGGCAACAAAUAAAGCACCACAAAUUCAUCACAAUAAUUACGAGGAAGCCUUUCAGUAAAAAAAAAUCUUUAAAAAGAAGAUUCUGAUGUAGCUAGUCUGAGUCCCGAAAGCAGAAGAACUGCUUUGUUCAAGUUCUGUCUGAGUUCAAGUAGUUUUACAGGCUUCCUUGUUCAAUAUCUAUUAAACACUAAGUUUGGACUGCUCACACCCAUGUGUCAUCAGCGUAGAAGUAGAUGUUAUAUUGUUUGAUUCUAUAAGUAAGUGUGGGAGCACCUAAAAAGAGAUCUAAGUGGGUUGCAGUAUUGACCCCUGAGGGACGCCACAAUUGACAAUGGAAUAGAAUUAACAUUUUUAAUAAAUCAAAUAAGCAAGAGACACUCCUGAGCGCUCCACCAGCACGAUUUGGCAACCUCUCUAUGAUACGGUCAUGGUUGACUGAAUUAACAGCUACUCUGAAAUCCACCACAACAAGAGAGGAAGAAUGUUGAUAGCUACUUUGAAAAGAUCAUUAGUAACUCAUACAAGCACAUGGUAUUUGUAGAAAAGUGUUGAAGCAUGGUGGUAAUAAAUAUUCACAUUAUAAAGUCUGGAUUUAAAUGGUUGAAAAGUCUGUAACACUAUCUGUAUCUUGGACAAUAGACCAAGGUUCAAGAGUGUGGUUUAACUAAAUUUGUCCAAAACCGAACUAGAACUCUCCAUAAAUGCUGUUUGUCUCAAUCUCAUGGAGACCAUAAGUUUAAGAAUUUUUCCCGAAGUUGCUGCUGUCUGAUAAAUCAAGAUCAUAUUUUUUUAAGAGAUUAAAGUUAGGACAUAAAACAGAAAUUAUAACCAUUACAUGGACUUCUAUUUCUGAGAGGCUUAUCCAAGUUGUACUGCUUUGCCCUCACCCUACUAUCAUGUUUUGCGAUCAUUACCAACAUUUCUUUUUCUCAAAAUCCCAGUUAUUCUCCUUUCAGGUACUUUAAAAAAGUCCUGAGUUUCCUUUUAUAAUGUACUGUAUGUAAAUGUGGCUUUAAAUGUUGUUUGUUCUUCAUCUUUUCAGCCCAUAGCAACUGAUCUCUUAGCUUGUAAGAGACUUAAAUUCUUGAGAGCGUACUCACUUUCCUUAUUAAUGACCUCUCUUGGAUUCAUACCUAUCUAUACACUCAGUAGGUGGAAUUAUACCUGUCUAACAAGAAUGCAAAAUUUGGCACACCAUGAAUCAUCUGUUGUAUUGUUUCACUAAUUACAUCAAGAACCACUUGGCAUAAACUUAUGAUUACUUUACAUUCUCAUACUAUUGUAAUAGUUUAUUUUCUGCUUCUUCACCGUGUGAAGCUCCACCUGUGACUGUGUGUCUUUGUUUUUUUGUGUGUUAAGUCUGAACAUCGGGGGGCACAUGUACAUGUACUCACCUGCCUGAUCUUGAAGCUGUGGCAGUCUCACCAGUGUAGUAUCGCACGCACAUAGCCAGCCUCCAAACUCCCACACAGGACCUAGGGCAAUGGUGUGGCCGAAUACAAGACAAACCCUGAAUUUACUCUGUCUUCAUUCUGAUGUACAUCCUACUGAUACACGAACAAGCAGAUCCACUACGGCUGUGGGGACUGGGUACUUAAGAUAAUUAUAAAACUGGUUGUUUGACCUGAAAAAUGCCUUAGAUCAGCACUUGGAACCAGUGGCAUCGGUCCGAUUUUUCUGGUGUAUAAUUUUGCGUUUUAUAUAAUGCUGAAAGACUACACCAAAAAAUGUAUCCCACUUACAAACUAGAACCAAAACAAUCUUCAAAUAAAUCAGGUUUCAUAAUGAAAAUCUUGAUUUAAUCUAAGCAGGGUUCCUACACAGGUAUAGAAAAGUAUGGAAGUAAUUUGAUCAAUUUUCAGGUCUUAAAAAGUAUGGUAAAUGAAAAAUAAAGUAUGGAAAAAUAUUCAUGUUAACAGACUGUAAUACCACAGUUAUAAAGUACUAUUUUCUUAUAUAGAAAAAUAGGUAUUUCCAAAAAUAAUUCUAAAAAGUAGGUUAUGGAAAAGUAUGGAAAUUCCAACUGUGUAGGAACCCUGUCUAAAGCUACUGUAAGUAAUUUUUUCAGCAUUGAAAAUAACAAAAGAGAACUAGUCAACCCUUAAGGCAAUGAUUGGUGUUAUUUUUAGUCUCUUUUUCAUAUUAAUCCAAACUCUUCCCACAGGAGCUUUGUUUGUAUUUCCCUUACUUUGAUGGUCCUAAAGGAUGUCUUUAAAUGGGGUUAAUUAUAAUGUUUUAUAAACUGUCAAUAGUAAUAAACGGCAGUGAACAGUAGUCCAUUUUCCUCAGAGUUGAUUAGAUGAUUUAACACUUAGCUGGUUGAAUUGAUUUGCUGUGGCUUUAAUUAACCUGUUGCACCACCCAGGUGCAGCCGCUGCCUGUGAGGCCACGACGGGGUCACUUUGAAGAGACCUUUUCGUCCCUUCUUCUGCUCCUUCCUCUUUCCCAAAAUGAUGACCGGCCAGAUCAAAGGAGAUGCUCUAAAGAAACUCCUAAUGGUGACCCCCCACUUCUCUGUCCUCCUCCUCCUCCUCCUCCCUGCUUCAUUCUCCCUCUCCCCUCAUAAGCACACUUAACAUCUGAACUCCCUCCUUCCCUCAUUCAUGCAAACCUCAGCUUUUCCCACCGAUUUACAUACGCUGCUGCAGGGCAAAGCUGGUUUCCCGUUUUAUCUGUGCUGACUUCAUAGGAAGUAGCUUGCUGAGUUGUUUUGGUUUGUGUGUUGUUAGUGAAACAGGAAGGGUCAAAUGCAAGCCUGGGGGGUGAGUUUAGGUCACAGAGUAAACCUGGCGAGGUUGAUCCCUCCAACUUUUUCAGUCACAUGAUGUCUGAGUGUUUAGGUAACCUUGUGUGUGUAUGUGUGUGUGCCUGCACAUGUACUCAUGCAUGUAUGCACAUUGUUGUUUGAAUGUCAGGUGAACAGUGCUGGUGCAGUCAGAGCCCCUCCAUCAGCACUGACCCCGGCAGCCAUCAUUGUUCUCAGGCUGUAAAUCACCCUGCUGCAAUCAGGGCCUGAUCUGGGCUUCUCCACUCCAGAUGAUUCCCUUCCUGAUUGGCCUAACUGGACUCCUGUCUGUGGAGGCAGAUUAGCAUGGAUUGUUUUUCUCUGUGGCAUACAGAUUGAGCCAUGUUAGCAUUCGCACCUCCACAUGGCUCCAGCGAGAGGCAGGGUAGAACCAAACUUCACUCAUAGCAUGACUAACUUUUGGAGCUUUAGAAAUAUAGUUUACAUAGAGAGAUAGUUGUUGAAAGACAUAGUUUACAUGUGUUAGUAUGUAACCACAGUAGUUCUUUACAUCAAAUCAGUUUAGUUUGUCCUCUGGAAAAAUGAUAAGCCUUUACUCAACAACAAAGUUUCUUAGACCUGCUAGCUUUUGACAGGUGAUGCUUUGUGCGAAGGUGAUAUCCUCUUAACAAACAUGAAAUACAGACAAAAGUAGCACCAAGUGUUGGUAGGAAAAUACGAGACAACCAAUUGCAGAUUUUAAAAAUAGAGCCAAAUCUUUUGUCAUGUAGCUAGGUUGAGGCGGGAUGUUUACACCUCUGUCACAUUUGACUAAUAUACGUAAAUGUCACAGAGGCAAAAUGGUGUGACCACACGGUGUGCAGUGGUGAUGCAUCAGAGGUAAUGACAGGAAAGGUGUCACAGGGGCGAGGCAGGAUUGCUGUGAACUGGUGGAGCAGGCAGGACAGAACAGUAGUGCGUGUGUGCAUGUUUGAAUUCAUGUUUAUGUCAAGCACCCAUUGUGUGUCUGUACCAGAUGCCCCGUGUGUUUUGAGUUGCACUAAUGUGAAUUCACAUGCUGGUUUAAAAAGGGUUUGAUGUUGACAUAGUAAAUAACCAAAUCUCUGCAAAUGCUUUAAUAUCCUCUGUUUGAAUAUCUCCUUUAUUGUUUUCUGCUCUUUAAAUGAAGUGAUUGAGAUCAUAUACCGGUUAUAGCCUGAUCAGGUGAGACUACAUUUACCUGCAGGGGUUCCCACUUACAGUGGCUCAUAUAGUUUUAACUCCUAGGGUCAUUUGUUCUCCCAGUGGGGGACGAUUGGUCUGAGCACCUUGUCGACGGUAAUCAGGGAGUUACCACUGGCUGGAGAGGCAAGGCCCAUCACCACCCAUGGAGAGAGACUGGCUUAUCUACCUCUAUCUAUGCAAUCAUUAGGGAAAUGACAGCAGUCUGUGAUACCAGGAGCUGAGGUUUAAGUUGUGAUGAUGGUUAAGAUCUUUAGUAGAGGUGGAGACUAAGUUGUGUAUACUGUAUGAAAAUGUUAACUCUGAAGAAACAAGCUCUGUCACCUAACUUAAUAGCUAUAAAAGUUUCCAUUCAGACCCACAAUCUUCAGCUAUUUUGAUCCAUUGCAUCUUAUCAAGGAAUCAAGUGAUACAAUGGAGUUCUCAAAACAACAAUACAGUGGCUAAAUCCAGUCUGAAUUUAUCAAGUGAAUUAAAGCGGCAGAUUCCGUAACACCGUGUUAGACACCCCCUCGAGAGAUGAGUGUUGCCGACCGCUUGCUUCUCUAGUUAUCAUUACCCAUAUUGAUUGUUUUGCCCUGCAGACACAGUAGUUCUUCUGCUUAAGCGUCUCAGUCUAAUUGCAUUUCCAUGAAGAAAUAAGCAUAAAAUCUCUUAACUAAAGAAAUCAAGCAAAGUUAAAAAGAUGUUUGGUGGCUAGUGCAGUGUCCGGGACCCUGUAUGUACUGUUGAUGAAGUUAGGUGCUGUUCUGAACAUUAUUUGUGGCUAUAGAGUGGCGUUUUGGUUGAGGUUUGUGUGUGGUUCCACAGACUGCUGUGUAUUGCUAUCGUGUGGUCGUUACUAAAGUUGGUAUAACCAGAGAAGCAAGCGGUCGGCAACAUUCAUCUCUCGAGGGGGUGUCUAACACGUGUUAUGGUGUGUUUGACCCUAAAUUAAUUUUACGCUGGAAUAUCCCUUUAAAGCUUUGUGAUUGAACAGUUUUUAAUGAUCUCUCUCCUGGGAAUCAUAGUAAUCCCCUUGCUAAAAAUAUUCUGGUACCCUCUCACACUUAGGAAUAGAACAGUUCUUGCUAGAUAUUUUCUGUUAAUUCAAUCUAAUAAUUUAAUCAGACCAUCUGUUGAAAAAAAACACGGGAUUUCUACUUCCUGAACCAGUUGUUUUACGUUGCCGUGGCAACGGUCAUUGCUCGGGCCUCAUGGAAUCCUGAUGACAUCACAGGUAUUCCAGGCUGUGUGUGUACAGUGAUCAGGGGGAUCACAGGCCUCAGGCAGAGAGCAUGAGAGAAAAACGGUGACUGCAGAGGGACAAAGACAGCCAGAGUUAUCUAUUCUAGACACACAGCUAUGUGUGGCAUGCAUUCACUCAUUCGCACAAGCUGAUCAGGCUUUAAGUGACAAAAUUCAGCUUUAAUUUUACUGCAAGACUGAGCAAUUUCAACAUGUGGGCUUUCAUGAUAUUGAGGACUGAUGCUGAGUUUGGAAAGACUGUGAUAAUGUAUGAAUAGGUGCGACUAUUAUUCAAGAAUUUUUUUAACAAGUCAUGAAUAGCAAACACAAUGUUACCAUUAACUUCUGAUGGUUUUUCAUGCUUUUAAUCGACCAACAGAAGGGUCAUAGAAAUUGAGAUAAGGAGAAAUAAGACCCCUUAUCAGUCCCUGUGAGGAACUUUUAGUUAGUAUGUUACACUUCAAUGAAAUGAUUAAUUGCCUUCGUCUGACUAAAAUGGACUUUUAAAAUGCAUGUAAACACAUUAAUCCAUCUGAAAUCGAACUUCUCAUAGUCAGACUAACAAAACAUGCGGUUUGAGAUCAAUUUUCUCUUGCAUGCAUACGGCUCAAUCAAACUUAAACUGGCCUGAGAGAUCGGCGCAUGCUUCAGUGUUUUCAUGCCAGGCUCUGAGUCAGUGGCGCUCGUCCAGAGACCAGCAAAGAUUUGGAGUUGAGGCUGUAUCUUCAAUGCCUGGCAAAUCAGACUCACUCUGAGUGGUGCAAAUUUUGCACAUCUCCUCCACCUUCAUGCAACCAAUAUGAAUGAUUUAUGAAAAUUCCCCCUUGACAGCCCAUGUAACAGAUAAAGAAAUGAGGUUUAGAGAUCCACCUUUAUUUUUAAAGGAGACAAAAAUCAAUCAAUGCAGUAAGAUUGUUGAUUUUUUUAACUUUACAAUUAAAUAAACAACAUUUCUCAGGCUAAGACAAAGGUCAAGGAAAAUAAUUUCAAAACUGAUAUGAAUUAAGUUGUUUUAAAAGCUUGCGGAAAGACCCAUGAGUUUUCUUUCCUGCUUUGUGCCAGAUGGUCCCUAACCAAACAAUAACAACAGAGGAAACUCAAGACUCGCAUCUUAACACUGACUAAGUUAUUAAUCAGAUGAGAUCCUCCCAGGGGAAGAGAAGGAGGGAGCUGGAGUGGAGGAAACAGUAUGUGUUGUACACAUCCUCACCUCCACUAAUCCCACCUCAUGUGUCUGAGAGUGACUCUCUUGACAUGGGCGUAAUUCUAAUUAUGGUGAUUUAUAACUCGUUCCUCCAGUUACUAACAUUGAGUGACAUGGCCUGUUUGUUUCUUUAAGGAAAGGUGGCUCAUCAUUACUCUCUAAUAAGUAAUUCUUCUCUUGGAUUUGCACCAACAGCUGGCGCAGUAAUGUGUGCAUGUGUGUGUGUAUGUGUGUGUGUGUGUGUUAGUGUCUGUUAUUCUGGCUUGUGUUUACACGAUGAAGGCCGGUUUCUCUGGCUCAAUCAAGUACUCCACUGUUUGCCUAAUGCUCUCCUGUUGACAUAUUGUGCAUGAGUUUGCUUAUUGUGUGUGAGUGUGUUUACCUUUGCGAGGUGGGGCAAAGGGGUCCGAGGGGCGAGGAGGUGGUGCCGGUGCUUGGACCUCAUCUCCCAGGAAGCUCAGUGUGCUCCAGAAACCUGAGCUUCAGCCUGUUAAGACAAUGAGGGGGAACACGUGAGACUCUGGCACAUGGUGGCUAGGGUUACCUGCUCACUCUGCCUCCUUGUUGUGAACUUUUGGCCCUUGGAGCCAAACCUCCCCACCCUUAUGACUCCAGUGCCGCUCCACCUUCCUGCUCUGUCCAGCCUUUUCUCGGCACCUCCCUUUCUAAUGCGUGUUUUGGUUUGCGUUUCUUGAAUCGUUUAUGUCUGACAGGUUUGUGUCUUACUUUCAGCAAUUCCUCAUUUGAGUCUCUUGUAGAAUUUUGCCCUCUGCUCCUGUUUCUCACUGUUCUUUAAGUCAUUAUGAUUAAUGGUCUUCUGAGUGAAACACUCAUCGACUAAAUACUUCAAUUUUUUUUGUCUGUGUUUGUAUGUUUACUGUCUGUCUCUCCGGACAAAAGCAGACUGGGCCCCGCCAUCAGAUCUCCAUCCAUCCACAGUCCACAGGUGAACUCCGUCCUCUAGCCAGGCAAACCUGACUGUCAAGUCUCCCACCCACAUCUAUUGGACUGUUGUCCUCUCACCUGUGCAAAUAAGACCGAGAGAGACAGCGGCAGGGAGGGUGGAAAAAAAAAAAAAGAGAGUGAAAUGGAAAGAUAUCCCAGCCUUUGGUUACUGGGUGGGGCGCAGAAAAGAAUACCGCACAGCUGAGCAAACCUCCAUAGCCAUAGGACUUCACCUGUACACUCCUCUCCUCUCUGUUUUCUCUCCCUUAAUCCAUUCUCUCUUUCUGUAAGCGGCCCCACAGCGAUAGCAGGCUAAGGCUUUCUUUUAUGGCCCUGAAUAGAGAUUUCCUUUGAGGUUAUGGAGUUGAUACACUCUCCAACGUCACUUUUGUUGCCGUGGUCAUAAUGUGAAGUGAUUUAGUGCCUUAGGGGACGCAUACGCUCUUUAGAAGUGUACCUGUGUAGGUGCAGGCAUUAUGUGGAUAUUAUUCAGGAAAUCCUUUUAUCUUACAAUAUCCGCAGCAGAGGUUAGAUUUAAUUUGGAAAUGUAACAUGUAAUCUUGAUCAAACUGCGCUAAACCGACUCGCUGAGUGAGGAGCCCAGCUGGGGAUAUGCUUCACGACGUGUUUGAUAUAGCGACACGAAGCAUCUCUGGCAGCUUCGGUGAAACUUAAAGCUCAAGUGUGUGCACAAUUAGAGGGCACACUAAUUCUUUUUUUUUCUAGAAAAGAGCACCACAAAUACAUUUUGUACACAUUCCUGAAACGCAUGACUGCCGAAACACAAUGUGUUCAUCAACAGCGAUGCGGCUGGCUGAAAUGUCGGAUCAAAACAAAGUUACCCCACAUGCUCGUUUGUUGCCUCAUGGUACGAUAAAUGUGCCGAUAUGAUCUAAAAAGAAACAUAAAAAGAACUUUAUCAGGUGAGAACUGUUGCCACCCAGCUGGAUGCAAGGGAGAAGCAGAUGUAGGCAGAGAUACACAGGAAGUCACUUUAGGGUGUUUUCGAUCGUGAAUAGAGUGAUGUGCUUUAGAGCUGCCUUCAUGAUGCACAUCCCAAUGCCUGAUCCUACUCUAAAAAUGUUGCUUUGAUGGUCGCAGGAAUUUCAUGUGAUAGUGAGGCAGAAGUGAAGCAUAUCACACGAAGGCAGGCACACUCUCACACUUUACGUUCUUCCUCCCUUCUCUCUCUCUUUCUCCUCUCUGCAGGUUUGGGCCUGAAAGACGUGCCAGACCUGCUGCCAAAGCAUCGGCCUCCACCUCACCCUGCAGACAUGGCUGAAAACACACACACACACAUGCAUGCAUACACACACAAACACGCACACACUCGUAUAGUUAUACCCAUGAACAUCUCUUAUACAAGUUUUCAAGCAUGUUUGCAUAUUUUUUACUUCUUAUAUCUCCAAAAACUCCCAUCAUGCAUUUGGACCUAGAACUCUCCUGCACACACACAUUCUUGCCAUCUCCACACUAUCUCUCUUUGUGAUGAUGGAGUGGCAGCACACUCGUCAUUCCUCGUGUCAGACGUAGACACAAUUGAGCCGCGUUCACACGCUCUACUAGGACGAAAACAUAAACACACACAUGCGUUCGGCCUGACAGUUGUCUUUCAAGCUUGCCCUAUUUUUAAAACUCUGCGCACACCUACACACAUUCUCCCAUGCUCGGGCACACCCACUGCAACCAGCGCCAUGCUGUUCUCUCUUCGUCGCACUGAACACCCUGCACUGCCGCAGUUAGGCGGGGGAAAAUUAGUCAGGUGAAGAAAAUCUCGACACCUGACACUAGUGGUCUCUCUUUAAAGUUGUUUGCACCACCGCCCCCGUACUUAAUGGUACAGCACCUACUGAUUAUUGCAUGUUCUGGGCUAGUCGGGUAAUUGCACAGUACAUACCUGUUCAGGGUGUAAGCCCAUCCACUGAACACGGGGCCCCUCUGCUAGAGCUGCUUGCGGUGUUGUCGUAACUAAGAGAGGGAGCCUCCUAUCUGUCAUUAACUAUCAAUCACCAUCAGCAUGCAACCCCACUCUGUUAUGCGUUUUUCCCACAGUCAAUUUAAAGGAACGUGUCGAAGUUUAAGUUCUUAUUUCGUGCGUAUAUAGAAGAUUCGAUGUCAAACAACCACCAGGAGUUAAAAAUCAAACCCACAGAAGGAGAAUCACCCCUUCAAACGUGGAGUCAUGAUGGUUUUUCUACAGUCAUCCUGUUUAUGAGUCAGUGCUCACUUCCUAAUCCUGUGGUUAUUUUCAUAGCAUCUGAGUGAGUCAUCUGCAGCAUAUUCAUGUUUUGUCCAUGCUGAUGUUUGUGGUAGUUCAGUUUAUAGCCUGUAUCCCCAAAAACAUAGCAAAUAUCACACCACAGGAUCAGUUUGUAGUUCUUACGAUUGGUUUCUUUUACUCAUAACAGCCUCUGUCUAUACUUGGAAUCAGUGACGUUGCUUAUCACCUCAAGAUGUAAUCAGUCAGCGGUUCAUGGCUCCUUUGAUGGUCAAAUAGUUGCAAAUCGGCUUCCAAACUCCCACACUUUGGUGGGUAAAGUUUUUUGACUUGGGAGCAAAUCCCCAUGAACACUUUGGUUCUAUGGUAAGAAAAAAAUUUAGAUUAAGUCCAAGUAAGAAAAGGAGAAUUAUUUUACGGCUGCCAAUAAUACCAGUAGUAGGAGGUGAGAAGGUUAUGGGUAGGUGAAUUUCAGAGAGAUCAAACUAUCGUAUUUCAGAUUAUCUACCUGCUCACCUUGAGUAGGAGUACACUGGAAUGAGGAGUGGCCACAGAAGUUUGUCACACAAGCUCUGUCUGAGAGCACACGCAGUUCACUGCAGGCAGAUUCGAGCGUACAGCACAUUUAGAGUUAAUCAAGGACGGCAUAGAGACGCCAGUGUGUAAUAAGUAUUGUUUAAAAGAAAUAGCUUGUUCCCAGUUUCUUUGGUUAUACUACAAUACUAGUUAUUUCGUUAUUUAGGAUUUCUUUGCCAUAUUUUAUCAAUAGUUAAUUGUAAAAUUUAACCUCUUUUAAUUCUAUUAGCCACAAACAAAAUAUGUAUAAAUGAAAUUUUAAAUCAGUUACUUGAUUUAAAUUCUCUGUAAACUGACAGUGACAGUCAUUUACAUGUAGAGUGGAUUUACUAAUCUUGGAAAGAUGGCAAUAAAUACUCAGCAUUGGAAUUUUAAGAUGUUAGAAUACCAAAAUAUACCUUAGUGGUUUGUUAAUAUUUUAAAAUAUACUAUAAAAUUAUGCUAAAUAGAAUAAAAACUACUUUUGCAUAAAUUUAAAUCUAAUGUAGUCACAAUAGCAGAUUGUUCAUUAAACUACAGGUAGUCAAAAUUAACUAGCCUGAUAAAGGGAUUAUUUCAUUAUUUUAAUUUUUCACUGUUCUGAGAAUAAAGCUGACGAGAGAGAAAAAAUUGUGUCACCUGUGUAUGUUUUUCUACUGUUCCAGAGGAGGAUAACGCCGUUAGGAUUUGCGAAACAUAUGCAGCAGGAUGGCCAGUAAAAGAGGCAACGCUGCAGAGCUGAUCUAAAAACUGUAGAAAGUUUCCCACAGACGACCCAAAGCUAA